AUUGAACGCUGGCGGAAUGCUUUACACAUGCAAGUCGAACGGCAGCACGGGGGCAACCCUGGUGGCGAGUGGCGAACGGGUGAGUAAUACAUCGGAACGUGCCCGGUCGUGGGGGAUAACGUAGCGAAAGUUACGCUAAUACCGCAUACGAUCUGAGGAUGAAAGCGGGGGACCUUCGGGCCUCGCGCGAUCGGAGCGGCCGAUGUCAGAUUAGGUAGUUGGUGGGGUAAAGGCCUACCAAGCCGACGAUCUGUAGCUGGUCUGAGAGGACGACCAGCCACACUGGGACUGAGACACGGCCCAGACUCCUACGGGAGGCAGCAGUGGGGAAUUUUGGACAAUGGGCGCAAGCCUGAUCCAGCAAUUCCGCGUGCAGGACGAAGGCCUUCGGGUUGUAAACUGCUUUUGUAUGGAACGAAAAGGCUCUGGCUAAUACCUGGGGCUCAUGACGGUACCGUAAGAAUAAGCACCGGCUAACUACGUG
rnacentral:rRNA from 1 species